rnacentral:rRNA from 1 species
UACAGAGGGUGCAAGCGUUGUUCGGAAUUAUUGGGCGUAAAGGGCAGGUAGGUGGUCUUAAAAGUCUACUGUGAAAUCCCUGGGCUUAACCCAGGAAGUGCGGUGGAUACUCUAAGACUUGAGUGCCGGAGGGGUGCGUGGAAUUCCGAGUGUAGCGGUGAAAUGCGUAGAUAUUCGGAGGAACACCAGAGGCGAAAGCGGCGCACUGGACGGCAACUGACACUCAACUGCGAAAGCGUGGGGAGCAACAGG